rnacentral:snRNA from 1 species
GGAUGGGAGGAUCAUCUGGCUAUGACUUCAGUCACCUCAAUGAUUGCCAGGAUUGAUUUGGUUGGUCUGGCCAACUGGGCAGGUUUCCCUUCUCUCCGUCAGCACUCCAUGUGAGCUGCCCCCACUCUAAGAAAGCAGUGGGGUGCCAUAUGUGACUUGAUAUGGAAAGAUCAACCUCAGAGGAGAGAACAACUUUGCAAAGCAUUUCUGCACUUCUCACCACACAGAAGAAGCUUGAGACAUAACAUAAGGCUGCAAAUGUGAAUGCUCUGUAAGUAAGAUGCUAUGAAGAAGGUCCUUAAAAGUUACAUGAGGGCUUGACGU